rnacentral:rRNA from 1 species
ACGAACGCUGGCGGCGUGCUUAACCCAUGCAAGUCGAACGGAAAGGCCCUGCUUGCCGGGUACUCGAGUGGCGAACGGGUGAGUAACACGUGGGUGAUCUGCCCUGCACUUCGGGAUAAGCUUGGGAAACUGGGUCUAAUACCGGAUAGGAGCCAUCUUUAGUGUGGUGGUUGGAAAGUUUUUUCGGUGUAGGAUGAGCUCGCGGCCUAUCAGCUUGUUGGUGGGGUAAUGGCCUACCAAGGCGGCGACGGGUAGCCGGCCUGAGAGGGUGUACGGCCACAUUGGGACUGAGAUACGGCCCAGACUCCUACGGGAGGCAGCAGGGGGGAAUAUUGCACAAUGGGCGCAAGCCUGAUGCAGCGACGCCGCGUGGGGGAUGAAGGCCUUCGGGUUGUAAACUCCUUUCGCUAGGGACGAAGCGUUUUUGUGACGGUACCUAGAGAAGAAGCACCGGCUAACUACGUG